rnacentral:tmRNA from 1 species
CAUCUAGAGAGCCACUGCUUGUGACCUUCGUCAGUGGGGCCACAGGGACUUUUAGCUGACUGGGCCCGUCCGCCACUUGUCUGCGUGAUGGCGGGGGCCGAGAAACUCAACUGCAGACUGCACACGGAGAAGCCCUGGUUCCACGUCAUCGGACGCGGGUUCGAUUCCCGCCACCUCCACCC